GACGAACCGUGCGAACGUUGUUCGGAUUCACUGGGCUUAAAGGGCGCGUAGGCGGGUCAUCAAGUCUGGGGUGAAAUCCUUCGGCUCAACCGGAGAAGUGCCCCCGAUACUGGUGGUCUGGAGGGAGGUAGGGGUGUGGUGGAACUUCCGGUGGAGCGGUGAAAUGCGUAGAUAUCAGGAGGAACACCAAUAGCGAAGGCAGCUCGCUGGGACGGUACUGACGCUAAGGCGCGAAAGCGUGGGGAGCGAACGAGG
rnacentral:rRNA from 1 species